rnacentral:rRNA from 1 species
GAUGAACGCUGGCGGCGUGCCUAAUACAUGCAAGUCGAGCGAACGGACGAGAAGCUUUCUUCUCUGAAGUUAGCGGCGGACGGGUGAGUAACACGUGGAUAACCUACCUAUAAGACUGGGAUAACUUCGGGAAACCGGAGAUAAUACCGGAUAAUAUUUUGAACCGCCUGGUUCAAAAGUGAAAGACGGUCUUGCUGUCACUUAUAGAUGGAUCCGCGCUGCAUUAGCUAGUUGGUAAGGUAACGGCUUACCAAGGCAACGAUGCAUAGCCGACCUGAGAGGGUGAUCGGCCACACUGGAACUGAGACACGGUCCAGACUCCUACGGGAGGCAGCAGUAGGGAAUCUUCCGCAAUGGGCGAAAGCCUGACGGAGCAACGCCGCGUGAGUGAUGAAGGUCUUCGGAGCGUAAAACUCUGUUAUUAGGGAAGAACAUAUGUGUAAGUAACUGUGCACAUCUUGACGGUACCUAAUCAGAAAGCCACGGCUAACUACGUG